UACGUAGGGUGCGAGCGUUGUCCGGAAUUACUGGGCGUAAAGAGCUCGUAGGUGGUUUGUCGCGUUGUCCGUGAAAACUCACAGCUUAACUGUGGGCGUGCGGGCGAUACGGGCAGACUGGAGUACUGCAGGGGAGACUGGAAUUCCUGGUGUAGCGGUGGAAUGCGCAGAUAUCAGGAGGAACACCUAUAGCGAAGGCAGCUCGCUGGUACGACACUGACGCUAAGGCGCGAAAGCGUGGGGAGCGAACAGG
rnacentral:rRNA from 1 species